AAAUCUAACACACCCGCAAUUAUACGUAAACCAACAGGUGCAUGAGUGAAGGUAAAAUACUCAAUGCUAACAUGAGCAUGGUGGAUCCUCCAGCAUGUCUUCCACAGUGAGAGUUGUAGGAGUGCAGCCAGAGGCCGAGUGCUUGCUCUCUGCACUGACGAUGAACGAGCAGGGGAGUUGAACCUGGAGCAGAUUCGCGGUGCAAGAGACUCAUAGAAUACCCCCAGAGGAGUUUGUGAAUCAGAAACACAUCAGGCAGCUCAAACAGGGACCCUUCAAUACGGAGACCAUGAACGGGCUGAAAGGUGCAACAAGCUUCCAUAAAUCACAACUGCUGAGCCAGUUCCUAACUGCUACUGCACGAAAAGGCUUUAAAAUCCAACCUCGGCUGGUUAAGUGGAUCUAAUAGACUGCAUUAAUAUGCAAUGCCCUGUUUUAAAUUAAUGCAUUUGUUGAAAAUAAUAUGAAAAUAAAU